GCCUCAAUAGCUCAGCUGGCAGAGCAACCGCCUUGUAAGCGGUAGGUCGUGGGUUCAAUCCCUACUUGGGGCA
rnacentral:tRNA from 1 species